rnacentral:lncRNA from 1 species
UAUAAUACCUAAUGCAAUAUAAAUAGUAUGUAAAUAAUUGUUAUGCUAUUUAGGGAAUUAGGACACAUGGAAAAAUCUGUACAUGUUUAAAACAGGUGCAAUUUUUAAAAAUAUUUUCAAUCUCUGGCUGGUUGAAACUGUGGAUACAAAACCCACAGAUCAGAGGACCAAAUGUACUUACUACCUCCAAAUUAUUGUAAGACAAAAGUUUGUUUUUAUUCUCACACACACACACACACACACACACACACACACGCACACACACACAGUACCUAGAACAGGGCCCAGAACAUAGUAAGUAAGCUCUUAUUUUUUGAUCAUGAAGAACCAGAUAAUGGAAAGCCUUGAAGAUCAGGUUGGGGGACUUUAAAUUUAAAUCAGUAGGCACUACUCACUGCACAGGAUAUGGUGUGACAUGUAGAAGCUACUGAAAGACAUUAAUCUGACAGUAUAGCCUGGAGAUAUGGGCUGGAUUGGAAAGAAUUUGGAUGCAGAGACCUGUUGGUCAUUCAGGGGUUUUGGUAUUGUUUUGAUUUUUUGGUUUCUGAGGUUUUGUUUUUGUUUUGCAGUGCUGAGGAUGGAACCCAGGGCCUUGGACAUGUUAGACAAG